ensembl:lincRNA
CCCCCCCGCACCUAGCCCCAGCCGACAGGCUCGCGCGCCUUGGCCCCCCGGGACUCGCGGGCCCUCCAUCGGUCCGAGGCUGCGGUGCACGCCGCCGCCAGCGGGGGGCAGUAGAGACCGAGGAAAGGACGGCGCCUCCCGCCCGCAUCCCGCGAGCCGGGAACUUGGGGCGGGGGUCUAGGGGUUCGCGGGCGUUGCACAGGGGCCCGAAGGGCGAGCCGGGACGCCUGUGUUCCCGGAGCCCCCGAGAUCCCGGGCUGCAGGGGCGGCGGCGCUAUUUUGGGGCAGCAGCUGCCGCGGAUCCGGCAUCUCCAGCCAAGGGAUCAAAAUUCCCCGGGUCGGAACUCCCCUUUCUCCCGGCGGCCACCCCGCAGCCCCCGCCGCCCUGAGCUGGGGGUGGGGAUGGUGGUACUGGAGAUUAACUAGGAAACCCGAGUGGAGCUAAUUAUAACUCGGGGCUUCCGCUGAGCCUUCCCUUCCCCCCAAGCAGAGACGGAGUCCCCGAGGGAGGGGGGCGCCUGAGCCUCGAGGGGGCCUGGGCUAGACGCUGCGCAGGGGCGCUGGGGUCCCGGCCCUCGGGAAGUGGGGGGCCCAGUCGGGCGCAGGAACCUGCGCAGCUCGGGGUCCGCCCCAAGCAGGGGGCGUCUUCCAGUGGCCCCAGACUUGGGGGCGAGCUGGAGAAGCGGUGCUGGGGGUCUCCGCAGGACUUUCAGAGGAGAGGCGGCGGCCAGUCCUGCGGGGUGCCUGCUCCCCCGCGGGCGUCCUGGCCGAGGCCACAGGGAGCCGGGAGGCCCAGACGGACUUCAGUGACAGACACGACAGAACGACCCGCAGCGGAGGAACAGACACCUACGGUGACCGGCGGACAGAAGCCCGCGGUGACAGACACACGCAGCGGACGGUCUCAUGCAGCGCCAGACACAGACGCAGUGACCGACAUUCACAGACGGCCGGACACACCCGCACACAUGGACAGCCUCGGUCGAGGCUGGGGAAGUUGUCGCCAGGCCUCGAGACCGAAUAAAUGAGCCUCCUGGGCCACGACACAGCCAGAGGGGGCGUGGGGGGUAUCUGCACGUGACAGUGUGGCUGAGGGCCUACAGGGGACGGGGUGGCACUGGAGGAGAAAAGGUGACGGGGACACUCCUGGGAUUGAAGGGACACCUGUGAGAAUGAAGAUGUGAACAUGCGCUCACCAGUGGAAAGGAGGGGACCCCGUGGGGGAAGCAGACCCCAGUGGGGAGGGGAAGAGGAGACUCCGGGACACCGCGAGGCAAGGCCGAAGUGGUGGCACGCGCAAGGCUGCGGGGCGAGGCCGCUCUCCGCUGCCGCAGUGGAAACUUCUGGAAUCCCUGCGGGUGGGUGUGCGUUGGUUCCGUGACGGGUGACCUCGGACUUUCGUCACCAGAGUCCGGCCGGGGCAUGACAUCACCAGGCCACCUUCCCAUUGGCCGCCGCGGCCGGCAGGUGGGCGCGGCCAGGCCGAGGCGCCCCCAGCCUGCGCCGAGGGCCUGGGCCCUCCAGGGGAUGCCCAGGGGGACGGGACGGCGGCGGCGUCCCCGCGCCCGAGCGGAGGGUGGAGGAGGCGUGGGCCGGGUGACCGGCAAGGUCGCCGCGCGAAUGGGUCUUUCUCUCCGGGGUCGCCGGGCUCGUGAGCCCGCCAGCCACGGCGUGGGAGACGGGCCGGCGCGCGUGAGCGUCCGGGCGUGCGUGCG